UGGGGAAUAUUGCACAAUGGAGGGAACUCUGAUGCAGCGACGCCGCGUGAACGAAGAAGGCUUUCGAGUCGUAAAGUUCUUUUAUAUGGGAAGAUAAUGACGGUACCAUAAGAAAAAGCCCCGGCUAACUACGUGCCAGCAGCCGCGGUAAUACGUAGGGGGCUAGCGUUGUCCGGAAUCACUGGGCGUAUAGGGUUCGCAGGCGGAAAUGCAAGUCAGGUGUAAAAGGCAGUAGCUUAACUACUGUAAGCAUUUGAAACUGCAUAUCUUGAGAAGAGUAGAGGUAAGUGGAAUUUUUAGUGUAGCGGUGAAAUGCGUAGAUAUUAAAAAGAAUACCGGUGGCGAAGGCGGCUUACUGGGCUCAUUCUGACGCUGAGGAACGAAAGCGUGGGUAGCAAACAGG
rnacentral:rRNA from 1 species